UGUUGUACUUUUUUUUUUGU
rnacentral:miRNA from 1 species